GCGGAGAUCCAGCCCAGGCCUAUGAUUACCAGGGCAGUGUGAGGAGGAUUACUGGGGGUGCCUGCAAGGAAUCACACCGCGGGAGGAGGAGAGACUAUGGCUGGAGACUGAUGGACAGACCCCUUGAAGUGCUGAGACACCAUGGAAUCUUAUGGACGAUGGGAUCUCUUACAUGAAUAGUGAAUACCGACUAAAGACGCCGUCUGCCUCAGAGGAUACAUUUUUUAGAGGUUCCACAUUGUGAGAAACCAUCAUAGAGGAAUAGUCGAUGUUGGACAGCUGCGAGGGAUGAAUAAUGGAGUAACUCACAAUACUAGGCAGGACCUCAACCUUCACACAAGACAGAAAUCCGAGAGAGAAGAGGGCAUCCGAUCUACAGAAUCGCCUACAUCUGUUACAAUUCCACUUUUUCUAGAUUGUAAGCUCUUUAGGAUAGAGUAUGCUUUCUAAAUGUUUCGGAGUAUGUAUAGUAGGUGCUUUAUAAACAACCGGUAAUUAAUAAAAUUAUAUAC